UACGUAGGUGGCGAGCGUUGUCCGGAAUUACUGGGUGUAAAGGGCGAGUAGGCGGACUUACAAGUCAGUAGUGAAAUGCACAGGCUUAACCUGUGAGCUGCUAUUGAAACUGUAGGCCUUGAGUGCAGGAGAGGAAAGCGGAAUUCCUAGUGUAGCGGUGAAAUGCGUAGAUAUUAGGAGGAACACCAGUGGCGAAGGCAGCCCGCUGGGACGUUACUGACGCUGAGACGCGAAAGCGUGGGGAGCAAACAGG
rnacentral:rRNA from 1 species